rnacentral:rRNA from 1 species
UACGGGGGGGGCAAGCGUUGUUCGGAAUUACUGGGCGUAAAGGGCCAGUAGGCGGCCAACUAAGUCCGACGUGAAAUCUCCCUGGCUUAACCGGGAGAGUGCAUUUGAGACUGUCAACCUGGAGGGCAGCAGAGGAGCGUGGAAUUCCGGGUGGAGUGGUGAAAUGCGUAGAGAUCCGGAGGAACACCAGAGGCGAAAGCGGCGCUCGUGGGCUGCACCUGACGCUGAACUGCGAAAGCCAGGGGAGCGAACGGG